rnacentral:rRNA from 1 species
GUCGAACGAUGAAGCUUUUAGCUUGCUAGAAGUGGAUUAGUGGCGCACGGGUGAGUAAGGUAUAGUUAAUCUGCCCUACACAANAGGACAACAGUUGGAAACGACUGCUAAUACUCUAUACUCCUGCUUAACACAAGUUGAGUAGGGAAAGUUUUUCGGUGUAGGAUGAGACUAUAUAGUAUCAGCUAGUUGGUAAGGUAAUGGCUUACCAAGGCUAUGACGCUUAACUGGUCUGAGAGGAUGAUCAGUCACACUGGAACUGAGACACGGUCCAGACUCCUACGGGAGGCAGCAGUAGGGAAUAUUGCGCAAUGGGGGAAACCCUGACGCAGCAACGCCGCGUGGAGGAUGACACUUUUCGGAGCGUAAACUCCUUUUCUUAGGGAAGAAUUCUGACGGUACCUAAGGAAUAAGCACCGGCUAACUCCGUGCCAGCAGCCGCGGUAAUACGGAGGGUGCAAGCGUUACUCGGAAUCACUGGGCGUAAAGGGCGCGUAGGCGGAUUAUCAAGUCUCUUGUGAAAUCUAAUGGCUUAACCAUUAAACUGCUUGGGAAACUGAUAGUCUAGAGUGAGGGAGAGGCAGAUGGAAUUGGUGGUGUAGGGGUAAAAUCCGUAGAUAUCACCAAGAAUACCCAUUGCGAAGGCGAUUUGCUGGAACUCAACUGACGCUAAGGCGCGAAAGCGUGGGGAGCAAACAGGAUUAGAUACCCUGGUAGUCCACGCCCUAAACGAUGUACACUAGUUGUUGGGGUGCUAGUCAUCUCAGUAAUGCAGCUAACGCAUUAAGUGUACCGCCUGGGGAGUACGGUCGCAAGAUUAAAACUCAAAGGAAUAGACGGGGACCCGCACAAGCGGUGGAGCAUGUGGUUUAAUUCGAAGAUACGCGAAGAACCUUACCUGGGCUUGAUAUCCUAAGAACCUUAUAGAGAUAUGAGGGUGCUAGCUUGCUAGAACUUAGAGACAGGUGCUGCACGGCUGUCGUCAGCUCGUGUCGUGAGAUGUUGGGUUAAGUCCCGCAACGAGCGCAACCCACGUAUUUAGUUGCUAACGGUUAGGCCGAGCACUCUAAAUAGACUGCCUUCGUAAGGAGGAGGAAGGUGUGGACGACGUCAAGUCAUCAUGGCCCUUAUGCCCAGGGCGACACACGUGCUACAAUGGCAUAUACAAUGAGACGCAAUACCGCGAGGUGGAGCAAAUCUAUAAAAUAUGUCCCAGUUCGGAUUGUUCUCUGCAACUCGAGAGCAUGAAGCCGGAAUCGCUAGUAAUCGUAGAUCAGCCAUGCUACGGUGAAUACGUUCCCGGGUCUUGUACUCACCGCCCGUCACACCAUGGGAGUUGAUUUCACUCGAAGCCGGAAUACUAA